AAGUGGUGGUGAAAAUCCNAGAGCUUAACUCUGGAACUGCCAUCAAAACNUUUUUAGCUAGAGUAUGAUAGAGGAAAGCAGAAUUUCUAGUGUAGAGGUGAAAUUCGUAGAUAUUAGAAAGAAUACCAAUUGCGAAGGCAGCUUUCUGGAUCAUUACUGACGCUGAGGAACGAAAGCAUGGGUAGCGAAGAGGAUUAGAUACCCUCGUAGUCCAUGCCGUAAACGAUGUGUGUUAGACGUUGGAAAUUUAUUUUCAGUGUCGCAGCGAAAGCAUUAAACACACCGCCUGGGGAGUACGACCGCAAGGUUAAAACUCAAAUGAAUUGACGGGGACCCGCACAAGUAGUGGAGCAUGUGGUUUAAUUCGAAGAUACGCGCAGAACCUUACCAACACUUGACAUGUUCGUCGCGACUCUAAGAGAUUAGAGUUUUCGGUUCGGCCGGACGAAACACAGGUGCUGCAUGGCUGUCGUCAGCUCGUGUCGUGAGAUGUUGGGUUAAGUCCCGCAACGAGCGCAACCCUCACUUUUAGUUGCCAUCACUUAGUUGGGCACUCUGAAAGAACUGCCAGUGAUAAGCUGGAGGAAGGUGGGGAUGACGUCAAGUCCUCAUGGCCCUUACGUGUUGGGCUACACACGUGCUACAAUGGCAUUUACAAUAGGAAGCAAGAUGGCGACAUCAAGCAAAUCCUAAAAAGAUGCCUCAGUUCGGAUUGUACUCUGCAACUCGAGUACAUGAAGCUGGAAUUACGUAGU
rnacentral:rRNA from 1 species